rnacentral:lncRNA from 10 species
CACACUUUUGCAAAAUUGGUGGAUGGAACUCAAAAAUAUUUUCAGUAAGCACAGCCAUAUUUGGAUCCACAGAUCUUAAUUAAUGAAGUGACUUAUUCAGCUACAAUAGUCAUUAAAACCAAGCAUGAAAAUAAACUUACCUUAAGAACAUUAAGUUGUUUUUAUAAAGUGUUAAAACUAGGAGUUUCAAAAAUGACAAGCAUUUUUAAUCAUGACUCUCUCUAAAAGAACAUUUUUUUAGAAAGAGCAAAGGUUUAUUAACCACAAAUACCACAAACAAUAUUUUAAAACAUUUUAAAAUAUAUAUGUCUAUGUACACACACACACACACACACACACACACACACACUGGGGUGUGCACACUACGGCAUUAAAGGCAGGUGAGUGAGUUUAAUAGGGUUUUCGGUUUCAUUGCUUGUAUUCUUAGAAAAAACUUCUCCAAUCCCAAGAAAAAAUACUACUUUCUAGUUUUUACAACAUUUUUUUCUUUUUUAGUUCACAAUCUGGAAUUUCUCUUGGUGAAUGGUAUGAUAGGAAUCAGUUUAAUGUUCUCUAAUUAUACCAGCACCUUUCAUAAAAUAAUUGACCAUGGACAGCAUGAUUUCAAAAAGCCGCCUUUAGUGUACUCUAAAUUCUAAAUUUGAGUUUUCUAUUUUCUAAAUUACCUUCCAUUGACUUAUCUGUUUACCCUGGCAUAAGUCUUUUAAUUUAAUUGCACUUAGAAAGUGAUUUUUUUUGGUACAGCAAGUUCCUUCCAUUUUCUUCACUUUCAAUGGGGAUUUUCCUAUUUUCAUCUGUUUAUACUUCCAUGAGUUUUUUAGAUUAUAUAAAUACUGUUGGUUAUCUGAAUUGGCUUUACACUGAAUAUACAUUAACUCAGAGAACUGGCAUGUUUAGA